rnacentral:lncRNA from 1 species
UCUGCAGCAAUAAUCCCCCUUUCCGGCACUACAGGACACAGGGAAAGCCUGCAAUUUAUGGAAUAUCUGAUGGCUCAGCUUUCCCCUCCUUUCCUCAGAGUCAUGAUGCCAUGUUCACAUUAAGGUGCACUGAGAAGGGGAGAAUGAUGUAUGGCCUGCAGUCCUUCAACCUUCCACUUCCUAAGAAGACCAGCGGGAAGGGCUUACAGACGAGAACUACUCUAUACCCCAGGAGUUUCUGCUGGAAAUAUAGUUUGGUUAACUGGAAAUCCAGGGCGCUGCAGCAUUUAAAGGU